rnacentral:rRNA from 14 species
GCCUAACACAUGCAAGUCGAACGCACUCUUCGGAGUGAGUGGCGCACGGGUGAGUAACGCGUGGGAACCUGCCCUGGGGUUGGGAAUAACCGCUGGAAACGGCGGCUAAUACCCGAUACGCCUUAUGAGGGAAAGAUUUAUCGCCCUGGGAUGGGCCCGCGUCCGAUUAGCUUGUUGGUGGGGUAAUGGCCCACCAAGGCUUCGAUCGGUAGCUGGUCUGAGAGGAUGAUCAGCCACACUGGGACUGAGACACGGCCCAGACUCCUACGGGAGGCAGCAGUGGGGAAUAUUGGACAAUGGGGGCAACCCUGAUCCAGCCAUGCCGCGUGGGUGAAGAAGGCCUUAGGGUUGUAAAGCACUUUCAGUAAGGAAGAAAAAGUUGGGCUAAUAACCUGAUCUUAUGACAUUACUUACAGAAGAAGAUCCGGCUAACUCCGUGCCAGCAGCCGCGGUAAUACGGAGGGGGCUAGCGUUGUUCGGAAUUACUGGGCGUAAAGCGCACGCAGGCGGUUUGUUAAGCUAGAUGUGAAAGCCCUGGGCUCAACCUGGGAAUUGCAUUUAGAACUGGCAGGCUAGAGUUUUGGAGAGGGGAGUGGAAUUCCAGGUGUAGCGGUGAAAUGCGUAGAUAUCUGGAGGAACAUCAGUGGCGAAGGCGACUCCCUGGUCAGUAACUGACGCUCAUGUGCGAAAGUGUGGGUAGCGAACAGGAUUAGAUACCCUGGCAGUCCACGCCGUAAAC